rnacentral:tRNA from 1 species
GGGUCUGUAGCUCAGUGGUUAGAGCAGGGGACUCAUAAUCCCUUGGUCGCAGGUUCGAACCCUGCCAGACCCACCA